rnacentral:rRNA from 1 species
CACGUAGUUAGCCGUGGCUUUCUGAUUAGGUACCGUCAAGAUGUGCACAGUUACUUACACAUUUGUUCUUCCCUAAUAACAGAGUUUUACGAGCCGAAACCUUCAUCACUCACGCGGCGUUGCUCCGUCAGGCUUUCGCCCAUUGCGGAAGAUUCCCUACUGCUGCCUCCCGUAGGAGUCUGGACCGUGUCUCAGUUCCAGUGUGGCCGAUCACCCUCUCAGGUCGGCUACGUAUCGUCGCCUUGGUAAGCCGUUACCUUACCAACUAGCUAAUACGGCGCGGGUCCAUCUAUAAGUGAUAGCAAAACCAUCUUUCACUUUAGAACCAUGCGGUUCUAAAUGUUAUCCGGUAUUAGCUCCGGUUUCCCGAAGUUAUCCCAGUCUUAUAGGUAGGUUACCCACGUGUUACUCACCCGUCCGCCGCUAACUUCAAAGGAGCAAGCUCCUUAUCUGUUCGCUCGACUUGCAUGUAUUAGGCACGCCGCCAGCGUUCAUCCUGAGCCAGGAUCAAACUCU